UGCCGGAUGACGACAUCGUCCAUCUCGUCAGCUUUCUUCCAAAAAUAGUCCAAACAAAUUCCAAAACCUCGAAAUUCGAAGAUAUAUAUAUAAAUAUAAUGGAAGAAUGAAGAGUGAGGUAAGCAUAAUCAGCCUACCGUGGAAACUGUAAAAAGUCUCUGGGGUGCGGCUGCCUUUUUGAGCCACUCAAUCAAUCAAUCAAACUCCAACCCGCAAUUUCAUGAUCCACAUGUAUAUAAAAAAGGGGGCAAGAGCCAGAAGGGGCAGAGAGAAUCGAUAUGGAUCCGCCCCAGGCUCAGUCUAUUGAUGUUUCAAGCUCCAAGAGCCCUCCAAUGGAGGACGAACAAGAUAAAGUUGUUGAUGAAUGUUGCUCUUGCUGGUAUGACUGUACGGAUGCCUGCUUUGACUACUUGUUCUGUAACCUCUGUUAGUUCUUCUCUCUGCUUUCCCCCCACACUUCUUCACUACUCAACUUAGAUUUCUGUAUUGUUUUCUUGUAUUUUGCUUCGGUUUCUCCUCUGUUUUUAAAUGAUAAAAGGACUGUCUUUGGUUCUUCUGAUCUAUUAUUUUAUAUAUA